rnacentral:rRNA from 1 species
UACGGGGGGUGCGAGCGUUGUCCGGAAUCACUGGGCGUAAAGGGCGCGUAGGUGGCCUGAUAAGGGUGUGGUGAAAGUCCGGGGCUCAACCCCGGAUCUGCCGUGCCGACUGUUGGGCUGGAGUACUGUAGGGGCAGGCGGAAUUCCGGGUGUAGCGGUGGAAUGCGUAGAGAUCCGGAGGAGGACCGGUGGCGAAGGCGGCCUGCUGGGCAGUUACUGACACUGAGGCGCGACAGCGUGGGGAGCAAACAGG